GUUGAGUCAAUGUAGGAAUUGAACACAUUAUUCUGUUAAAUUAAACUGUUUCCAACAAACCUAAAAAAAACAAACAAACAUUGAAAAACCAUAAAGAACUAUAAAUGCUAAAUUUAUUUAUAUCAGCACCAACUCACAACAAGAAUCAUCUCAAAGAACUUUUUAUAGUAAAGUUAAGACCUUACAGAAAUGCAUGGAAAACAUAUACAGCCACAUGGAGUCAAAAAAAAAAAAGAAACGUUUAAUAAAUAGAAAACAUACACACAUUACAUUACAUUACACCCCCACCCCCUCUCCACACUUCAACCACACACAACAGAAAGUGAAGCUAAAAUAAAAGAGUUGCACCAGAGAAGACAAUACAAAGGUCUGAAAGACACAAACGGUUUUUACUGUUUACUGAUUUACAUAUUAACAAUAUGUCUGGUAAGUCUUGGUUUCUUCUUCUUGUUAUAUAAAGAGUUACAUUUAAAACAUGUUGUAGACUAACUACUUUAAUCACUUCAGUACUGGCAAUUAUAACAUGUAGCACCUGAGCAUGCAGCUUCUUGUACUCCUGAAUCAGUCACACAUUUGGUACUUGUGAUGCAUCAUUUUCAGCAUUAGUGUAAUUCAUUUCUCUGAAAACUGGUCAAAGGACCAAUAGAUUAAUACUGUUAAUCUAAAGGAAAAACAGGAGCGUGUACACAAUUUCAUGGCAAUAGAUGCUGGGAUAUUCUACUCAUAACUGUAAUAUUAAACCUGACUGAGAACAAGACAUCUGGAAACCUGGAAACAUAAACAUGUUUAUUUAUAUAGCGUUUUUAACAAUUGUCAUUGUCGCAAAGCAGCUUUACACAACCAAAGAAACAUGAACAUUUGAAAUUAUUUUACCUUUCCACUUUAACAAUAUGGGUGGUUAUUUGUUAAUAUUUCUCACUGGAUAUUAAAUAAAUGCAGUGUUUGAUUGAUCAUUUUCUAUCUGUUAACACCACACAACAUUCAAAAUGCAUAGUAUUAAUUAUGCUUUGCUCUUUGUCUCUUCUAGUGAAAGCAGCAGAGAAAAGAAUUCAGAUGGACAAACAGGCAUCAGGAAGCAUGUCACAGGAAGAGAUCAAUAAGGAAACAUGGGUCAAAUUAACAGGCCCUGCAGCAGAAUCACUGGCAGAAGCAUUUUCUGGGCCAGAUGUCGUAGUUGUGCAAGAAACCAUGGGAGUAUGUGGAGGUGCAGAAGUACCAUGUGUACGAGGAGCUGAAGAUGGAGAUCCACAAGUAACUGGAACAAAUACCACCCAAACAGUGUCAGUGUCACCAACAAGGAUUGUCAUGGCUGGAACAGAUGGGGCCAAGAAAAACAUCAAAGUGCUAAAGUCAUACAGGAUUGUCCUACUGGGAACAACUAGAGCUGGGAAAAGUAGCCUUGCUAACAUCAUAUUUGGAGAAGAUGUGUUCAAG
rnacentral:lncRNA from 1 species